UUACGGUCAAAUCACGCUGAAAACACCGGUUCUCGUUCGAUCACCGAAGUUAAGCAUCGUAGAGCCAGGUCAGUACUUAGAUGGGGACCGCUUAACACCUGGUACUGUAAG